GGCCAGUUACCAGCGUGACACUUUCUACUUAAGUACAUGUCUGAGCCCAUAAUUAUUUACUUUAACUUAAGUAAAUAAGUGUAGUCAGUACUUCUGCUUUUACCAGAGUAUUUUUAAACAUGAGUACCUGUACUUCUACUUGAGUGAAGGAUGUGUGUACUUUAGCCAUCUCUGUAAAACUUACAUUUUCUCACAUUUACUGAGACACAGAUCACUGAUAAAGAGAGCUCUUCCUGUCUCUCUCCUUUUUUUUUUCAAUGAGACACCUUUAAAAGUUGAUGAAGUAGCAGAACGACACACAGACGGCACAGCACAAUACAGCCACAACGAAUUCCACCAUUCUGUCCAUUACUUCUUCAAAAUUAUCUUAUGCACUGAACUGAAACAUUUUGAGCGCAAAAGACCAGAUCAUCAAAUACAUAAUACAUAACAAAUACAUAAAUAAGCUGGUUUGUCAUAUCAGACCCUAAGAUGCCUGCAGCAGCACGAUUGGCAUCCACACUUCAGCGUAGUCUGGGCAAAAAUAAAAUGUUCAGCACUUUUCCAGCAAACAUUCUGUUGAUUCCAUUGGAGAUUUUGGCAGAUUACAAAUUUUCAUGUCCGUGUGACUGGCCAAAGGAUACAGUCCUAACAGGCCUAAUAUUUGGUGCUCCUGCAACGUUUUUUUUUGCUUUAAUGCUUCUCUACUAUUGGCAUGUUAGAUGUGUAAAGAAAGAGAAACAAAACACUUUCAUAAGUUUACUCUUAGUUGUGUUCCCACCUAUUCUUUGGAUCAUUCUGUUGCUCUUUGAUGGGGAAUACAUUGCCUGUAGUUUAUCAGACUGGAAAGGAGAGUAUGUUCUUGAUGACAAACUCAAAAUAAAAUGGUGUAAACCUACUGAAGCGAUCCCUGGAAGAAAUGAGACUGAACUGCUAAAGCUGACACUUAGAUAUAUCAGUACAUCACAACGUGAUGGGUUUAUUGCGCUUCUUAUCUGUGCCAUUGUGAUUAUUCUUGGGGUUGGUUUUACCUGCUUGUGCAGACUGGAAGAGCCAGCGGAACCGUCUCAGGAAGAAGUUCGCCUUUAACACACAACUUUAUUAGAAAAGAAGAAAAUGAUUGAAAAGUACAUUAUGGAUGGAUGGAGGCAUGAAUCUUAUAAAAUUCCUACUUUUUGAAUGCUUGACUGAAUGUAACUUUCAGUUAUACAUUUAAGGUUUUGUCAAACCAAGGUUAUAGAUUGGAUUGAUUUUAGCCCUCUUUAAUCUGAGUUUAUACACCUCAAAUUUUGAAUGAAAAAAUCAUUAUUUGUUUAUAAUUUUGUCAAUAAAAUAUGAAAAAGACACUGUUUAUCAUACUAGUGUGCUUUAAUGUUUAACCAGAAAGUUUGUCUUGAACUUUUAUUUUGUGCAAAAUGCAAUAAAGUUCCCUGUCAAAAAUGACCAGCCUUCAAAAAAAGUAGCUUAUAAAUCUCUCUUAUGGGAUAUUAUCACCAAAUAUUGGAUUUAACUUUGUCGUCAGCUUGUUUUCUUUCAGUUAGCUUUUGUGUUUAUUUUUGAAAGUGAUUUAUCAUAAGCCUCAUUGAUUUGAUAUAGUUAAAGUUCAUAGAUAAAUAUAAAGAUAUCUGCUAUAGAUAAAAUUCAUCUCUAUGAAAAAGAAAGCCUGUAAUACUCAAAAUAAUUAGUUUUUGUAUAUGAAUUUGUGUGACUUGUGUGAAAGUGUGAAAGA